rnacentral:tRNA from 1 species
AGCUCGGUAGCUUAGUUGGUAGAGCACUCGCCUAGCAUACAGGAGUCGUGGGUUCGAAUCCCACUUGAGUAU